AGGUGAACCUGCGGAAGGAUCAUUACCUAGAGUUGUAGGCUUUGCCUGCUAUCUCUUACCCAUGUCUUUUGAGUACCUUCGUUUCCUCGGCGGGUCCGCCCGCCGAUUGGACAAUUUAAACCAUUUGCAGUUGCAAUCAGCGUCUGAAAAAACUUAAUAGUUACAACUUUCAACAACGGAUCUCUUGGUUCUGGCAUCGAUGAAGAACGCAGCGAAAUGCGAUAAGUAGUGUGAAUUGCAGAAUUCAGUGAAUCAUCGAAUCUUUGAACGCACAUUGCGCCCCUUGGUAUUCCAUGGGGCAUGCCUGUUCGAGCGUCAUUUGUACCUUCAAGCUCUGCUUGGUGUUGGGUGUUUGUCUCGCCUCUGCGUGUAGACUCGCCUCAAAACAAUUGGCAGCCGGCGUAUUGAUUUCGGAGCGCAGUACAUCUCGCGCUUUGCACUCAGAACGACGACGUCCAAAAGUACAUUUUUACACU
rnacentral:rRNA from 1 species